rnacentral:lncRNA from 1 species
AUGAUGAUACUUCUAAAACUGCUGUUUUUUUUUUUUGAUAAUAUAAAUGAUUCUACAGAGUAUGAUAUGGUACAUAAACCUCUUCACAGUUCAAUUUUUGAAAAUAAUAAUAAUUACAAUAAAGAAAAAGAAAGUCUCACAUGUAGUAGUGUUUUUUGGAAGCAGUAUAAAAGUGGGACCGUAAAUAGUGAGAGUACAUGUGGUGCAGGUACACAUACGAACGAAACAAACGGAAAAGGGGAAAAUGUUGAAAAUGGGAAAAAAAACGAACAUACUAGAGGAAGUAACAACUUAAUAAACAGUUACGACAACAACAUCGACCCAAACGAAUUUACUAACAAUUCUACGCAUUUAAACAUAAAUAAUAAUUUACAGAACCCGAAGUAUAUACAGCAUAUACAACAUAUACAAAAAACAAAUAACUUAGCAGACUCUCCUAAUCGAAAAUAUAUAAACACAGAUGAUAGUUUAACAUUAUCAACUAGCCAUACAUCAUUACAAAAUGAAGAAAAAUCAGAUAAAAUUGGUAUAGAAUCGUACCAACCAUUAAACAGUAAUAACUUAUAUAAAAAAUAUGAUCAUGUGAUUACAGAUAAAAAUGAAAAAAGUUUUUCAAAAGGUAUAGACAUAACACAAAUUUCAAAUAAUAAUUUAUAUAACGAAGCGAUUAAAAAAAAUAGUGAAAAUGUUACUUUACCAAAUUUUGACAUUACUUAUAAACAAAAUAAUAAUUAUAAUCCGCGUGAUAUAAAAAAGGGAUAUACAACUAGUGGCGAUCUUAUACAUAUGAAUACGGAUAUACCAUUUUUUUAUCAAAAAGAUGAUAUAGAACAUUCAAGUAUUUGUAAUGAUAAAUUUAUACUAAAUAAAUCAAAUACAAUUGUAGGGGUAACUAAAACAAACUCUUUUGGUAACAAAGUUAUUUUUGAAAAUGGUGUUUAUAAUAAAGAAACCCAUACUAACAAUCAUAUAUAUGAUCAUAAUUAUGAACAUAAAUACAAUAACAAUUACAACACACACAAUGAUAAUAACUACAAUCAUACUUAUCAAUUAAACAAAACAAGCAGUACUCAAACUUUUAACAUAAAUAAUGAACAAUCACUAAAUUGCGAUAAAAGAUCAAAGUCUAUACAUCAACAUUAUAAACAAAAAAAAAUAAUAGAAGACCCUCCUGACAUUAAUAUAUUAAAAAAAGAAUAUUAUAAUAAAAAAGGAACAAAUCUAAAUAUGAAAGAGCAUACAACAAAUUAUAUAAAGGGGCAUAUGACAAACCAUAUGAAAGAGAAUACAAUAAACCAUAUAAAAGAGAAUACAAUAAUACAUAUAAAAGAGAAAAUUUAAUACCAACCGAUUUAUAUAUGUAUCAAAAAAAAGACUCAAUUGGGUUUAAUAAAAAUUUGUAUGAAAAUGUUGAAAGUAUUGGU